rnacentral:lncRNA from 1 species
CAGAGUUGCUUAUUUAUAUUGGUAUAGGUAAUCAUAGACAAGUGGAUACAAUUGUUCCCCCAAAAAGCUGUUAAACUCCACUGUAGAGACAAAGCGUGGAUUAUUCCUGAAAUCAAACUACUCAUCUCCCAAAGAUGAAAAGCUUUUGCCUUGGGAAACAUGCACAACCGAAUACAACAAAUUACGAAAUAAGUUAAGAAUCAGGCCAAGUCUAAAUACUUCGACCCAUUCAUGCACUUGCUCUAAAUACUCAGUUCGUCCCAUUCAUGCACCAUUCAUUACGGCACCUUUUUUAAUUAAGGAAACUUCAUUGGCUUCCAAUUCGGUACCGUGUGGUUUUCCAAAUUGCUCUUACCGUUUUUAAAGUGGUACAUGGCGAGGCACCCGUAGAUCUGCAGCACGUGCUUCGGUUAUAAAGGACGCUGGACCUUAUUGUUUAAGAUCCAACGAACAGAACUACUUGUGGUCCCAAGAACAACUUGCAAGACUUUUGGAAACCGGGCUUUCUUCAAAGCUGGACCUGUUGUUUGGAACAGUUUAAUACCCUUAAUUUAAAUGUAAGAGACUAGUAUUCUAAUGUGUCCUCUUUUAAAGACGGGUUACAGUCCGUGCUGCGCAUGUGCGAUUCUUUUUGUUUUGGUUGACUACUUAUCUCUCGUUUCCAUGGUUUCCAGUCCGAUUGCGUAAUAUACGCGCGAUUCUAUAUUUGUUGAUACAAGGAGUGGGAAUUUUUUUUUUUUUUUUU